rnacentral:lncRNA from 1 species
AAAAGGUACUCAGCAUCAUUUAUCAUCAGAGAAAUGCAAAUCAAAACCACCAUGAGAUAUCACUUCACAUCAAUUAAGAUAACUUUUUCCCAAUGACUAUUAUCUUUGGAUAAAAGGCUGUUAUCUUUGGAUAAAAGAACAUGUCUAAUUUCCACAUACUUGUUAAUUUUCCAUUAUUUCUCCUGUCACUGAUUUCUAUUUUUAUGCUAUCAUAGUUGGAAAAAAUAUGUACUUUUAGUCUACUUAAAUUUAUUAAGACUUGUUUUAUGGCCUAAUACAGAAUCCAUUGUAGAUGAUAUUCUGUUUUAUGCUUGAGAAGAAUGUAUUCUGCUGUUGUGGAAUGGAAUGUUCUGUAUAUAUUUUUUGAGACAGUUCAGGUCCAAUGUCUCCUUAUUGAUUUUCUGUCUGGAUAAUCUAUCCAUUGAUCACAGUAAUCUAUCCAUUGAAGCCUCUUACUGUUGCUAUAUUGCUGUUUAUCUCUCCAUUUUCAUCUGUUAGUAUUAACUUUACAUAUUUGGGUGCUCUGCUAUUAGUUGCAUAAAUAUAUAUAAUUUUUAUAUCUGUGAUAAAUUGACCCCUUUGUCAUUAUAUAAUUACCUUCUUUUUCUUUUUUUACAGUGUUGACUCACACUCUCCUUUGUCCUAUAUAAUUAUAGCUGCCCCUGCUUUCUUUUGGUUUCCACAUGCAUGGAACAUCAUUUUUCAGCCUUCAGUCCAUGUGUAUCCUUAAAGCCGAAGACAAAUGAUUAAAAAGAAGCAGGCCAGUCUCACAGCUUGAAGGUAUGAGGAGGACUGAUCUUUCUAACCACAUUGUACAGUUCUGGACAUGUCCCAAGAGGGACAUGGAUGAAUCUGGCGAACAUCAUCCUCAGCAAACUGACACAAGAACAGAAAAUGAAACACCGCAUAUUCUCACUCAUAGGUGGGUGAUGAAAAAUGAGAACACAUGGACACAGAAAGGGGAGUACUAAACACUGGGGUCUAUUUGGGGGA